rnacentral:tRNA from 1 species
GUGGUUAUAGCUCAGUUGGUUAGAGCAUCGGUUUGUGGUACCGAGGGUCGUGGGUUCGAGUCCCAUUAACCACC